UUAUGGUUCCUGAUACUCAGCGUGAUCUUGCAUGUUUCGCAAGUGUUUGGAAUUAGAUUGGAAAGAUGGUGACCAUAAGAGAUGGGGACGUUAACGAAUUUUUUAUAAUCAGACAAACAGAGUGGCCUUUGUAAAGUCUUGGAGGUCGUUUUGAUUGGUGAUUUUGGGUGAUUUUGAAUGCAAUUAUUACAGAGAGAGAAAAAUAAAAGUAAAAUGAAAAACUAAAAAUACAAAAAUGCCUCCAGUUUCUUUAUGACUGUAUCAAUUAUCAAAGGAAAAGGGUAAAUUUGGUAAAAAUUCUCAAAUCCCCCCUUUCUUUUCCGAAAUCUCUACCUCCCCUAGGUGAUUUGAAAUCACCCACGAAAUUCUCUCCAGACCCUUAAGGUGGUUUCAAAUCUUCCCAAAUCCUUCUUGUUUUAGUGUCCAAAUGGGUGAUUUGGGACGAAAUCUCUUAUGAGGUCCAAAUGGGUGAUUUGGGAUGAAAUCUCUUAUGAGGUCCAAAUCACCCCCAAAUUACCAACCCAAACGACCCAUUGGUCUUAGAAAUCCAUAGACUUGGAGCCAUCAUGUAAAAUUCAUGGUAUCACACUGCAUUCUCCAGCUUGAAAAUACUUGGAAUUUCUAUGGUCAACUCCACAAAACUCAUUUGGAAUUGAUAAGAGGAUAACUUGCUUGUUUCAAAAUGUACUCUCUCUCUCUCUCUCUCUCUUCCGCUCUAAUUAUAUAAUAAGUAGUGAUCAUGCUCGAGAUAAAAAUUUGUUGAAGUUAGACUUGACAUCGGGGUGGAUUGAGGACAGGUUUUGUGCAUCUGAUCCCCUCCUACCGCAAUUGACGGGUUUCUCCGUCCCCGACACCAAACAGGUGGAAAGUGCAUACUGUUACUGUUAAAGAACAGAUUACGGAUAUCCACCAACCCCCAUCAAAGAAAAUAAUUAGAAAAAUGGAAUUGAAAUGUACAAAGAAGAUGAACUUCAUCUCAUUCAAGAACAAAGUUAAUAGCAAUAAUGCACUACAAACAAAAUGUAGCACUCUACAUACAUACCUAAAGUU
rnacentral:lncRNA from 1 species